AGUGUACAGGAUCUGCACUUGUUAUUAUUCUACUUCAGUACUUGUGAUGAAUAAUAGGUCUUCUUUAUAUCUACUGAAAACAAGUUCAUAUUUUAUUAUAGAAGAUAGACAUUGUUUUGACCCCAUAUUGAUUGAAAAGUGGUUAUAGUCAUGGUGUUUUGCACUGCCUAUGAUUACAGCACUGUUGUCAGUACAACAUGACUGACAACAGCUGUUAAACCCCCAAAUAAACAAGCAGGGGCUGCUCUAUUAAGAUUACUAAAGAUACUAAAAUUAUCUCCAGACAUUAAACUGAAUAAAAAUAAAAAAGCAACCAUAUCAGUGGGGGUUCUGGGGUGGGUCUGAGAGGGGCCGGUGCCCCUGACAACAAAGCUAGAUCCCCAUAUGGUCCAUAAACUGCAGUGGAGUUUUCUCCCAGAAGCCCGGGGAUGCCAGGAGUUCACUAUUAAAAAUAUAAUUUUUAUUUUAAUAGAGAGAUUAAAUCAUUUUUCUUUGUUAAACAAUAGCUUCUGUAUUAGUAUUCUGUUGUCAUGGCUGUGUUUUUGUCAUGGUUUUGUGUUUGUGUUCAGUUAUUUCCUAUUUUAUUUUGGUAAGAGUUCUCCCUUGUGUGUCUUGUAGUUUUACUUCCUGUCUUUGUUUACUUUUCUACCUGUUUUGAUUGUUUGCCCUGAUUAGGUUCACCUGUGUCUUGUUAUCCCUCCUCACCUGUGUGUAGUUAAGUCUGUGGGAUUCUGCUGUCCCUUUGUUAGAUGGUCAUACCAUGUGUCAAGUGUUUCAGCACUUUCCACCUUGUUUUUGGACUUUGUCUGUGCCCUGUUGGACUCGAUUGCAACAUUGGGACUACUUUUCUGUUUCUACCUCUGCCUUUUCUUCAAAUUACUGAAACAUUAGUGCCUCUGGAUUUCAACAUGUGGGAAAUGUCAGAAGGUUUAAAAGCAAUA